UUAUUGAAGAUGGUAAGAAGGUCCCAGCUACUUGAUUUCUGAAUCAUAAGUACAAGUGGUAUGGAGUGUGGCAUCUUCUUCUUUGGCCUGGAACUUUCCAAACUGAAUGCAGUCUCAAGGUAAAUGGACUGCUGAAAAGAAUCUAAUCACCAGCGAAACAUUUUGUCACGUAUUAAAUCUCCAUUUUCUUUGUUUUGGAACUGGAAAUGUGUAUUGGAACUAAUAGCUACACUUUGUACAGGCACAGUAUAUUUGCUGUUUGCCUUUUUUAUUUUAAAAGCUGCUGAGUUGAAUUCUUCAUAAGCAACAGGUUUUUCAUGAUAUGCUACAUAGUUUAUCCUAGUGAUAGAGCUGCUGCUACCGG
rnacentral:misc_RNA from 1 species